rnacentral:lncRNA from 1 species
AGAAGGCAUUGCGGCGAGACGUUCCACCUAUACGCCUUGAGCCCUUUGCUCUAGCUCUUAGCCAGUGCCGGAAGUCAGUCUCUAACUUUAGUUUCUAGAAGUCGCAUCCGAGGGGACCUACGGCGGGCUCGAGCCCUGGGCUGAAGGAUUUGGAGAAGGUGCGGGUUUGUCAGGGCUCCCUCUGCGGCCCCGAACUCGUGCGGUGUGGGAUGAGCGCAAUGCCCGGGUGCAGCCGGCGCUGCUCUCUAGAUCGUUAAUUCUAGGCUCCGAGCCCCGCCUCGGUCUGUCCUGUCUGCGCGCCUUUUCUACACAAGGCGGAGCGCAGAACCGCUGGCCUCCGUCGGAGAAGAGUUGGGAACGAGGAAAGAAGGUUCGAGAAGAUGAGGGGGAAAGGGACAACCCCGGGAGUUGGUCUUUUAAGGAUGACCUAGUCCGGUUCACCACAGAGCGUUCCAAGAAUGGGUUAAUAGAACAGUUUAUUGUAAAUGCAACAAAAAACAACAAAAACAUGGACCCAAGAAAGAAGAAACUGAGAUCUACAAGACCCUGUUAACAAGUGAGAAGUGAGAGGUUUAAAACAUUACAGAAACUCUGAUCCGUUUUUCUCUUUUGUUGUGUUUGAGACCGGGUCCCUCAAUGUAGUUCUGGUUGUUCAGGAACUCGCCUUGUAGACCAGGCUUGCUUCAAACACACUUAAGUCUUUCUGCCUCUCUCUCUUUAAAAAAAAAAAUGCUGAGAUGAUGAAAGGCUUGAGCCAUCACUAGUUGAAUAAGUCUUCCAAAACAUUGGGAACUUGAACCAAAUUUGUAUUUAUUUCCUGGCAAAGUUGUAUUUGAUUAAUUAACCAGAUUCACACUUUUAGCCCAGAUAUGUGAUCCGUACAUCAAGCUUGGCUUCAAGUCGCAAUCCCUAAGCAAGAAUACUUCAUUUCACUCUAACACAUUUGUCCGAAUACAAAUUUAGGGUUAUAUAGUCUUUCUCAUUUCCAUGAGUCACUCCAACACAUCUCACCACAGAAGUGUAUCAAAUACUUAAUUGUUUCCAGGGUACCCCAAUCCUAUCAUCUCUCAGGCAGCUUCAGUGGUGUCCCAAUCUGUAUACAAUCCAUUGUCCGCCUAGUGGUCAGUGGUCUUUGUAAAUCCCUCUAAAUUGUUUGUUUUUUUUUUUAAAGAUUUAUUUUAUAUAAGUACUCUGUAGCUGUCUUCAGACACACCAGAAGAGGGCAUCAGAACCCAUUAUAGAUGGUUGUGAGCCAUCAUGUGGUUGCUGGGAAUUGAACUCAGGAGCUCUGCAAGAUCUAAAUUAUUUUUAAAAAGACUUAAUGUGUGAGUAUGGGGUAAGAGGAUAACCUUGUGGAGUCUUUUCACCGUUUACCUGGCUUUGAAUAUCAAACUAGAGUAGUCAGUGUACAGCAAGCACUUUUGGCUACUGAGCCAUCUCAGGGGCCCUCUUUUUAUACUUUCUCUAUGCAUUUGAAAUAAAACCCAAGUUCCUGGCCUCAUGUCCUUCCACUUUGCCCUUAUUUCUACUCAUUCCAAGAUCGCUCGCUUUCUUUUUUUUUUUUUUUUUUUGGUUUUUUGAGACGGGUUAUCUGUGUAGCCCUGGCUGAUCUGGAAUUCACUCUGAAGGCUGGCCUCGAACUCAGAAAUCCGCCUGCCUCUCUGCCUCCCAAGUGCGGGGAUUAAAGGCACCAAGCACAUUUCUAAUCCUAUACAUAGUAACAUGUUGUUUACCUGGAAAAUAUAUACUUUUAAAGAUGUGUGUCUUGUCUGUCUUGGCAUCACAGUACCUGCAGUGCCUAUGAAGGCCAGUAGAGGGUAUCAGAUAUUUUGGAAGUGGAGUUAACAGAAAAUUCUUAGUUGCUACAUGGGUGUUUGAAACUGAACCCAAGUCCUCUGCAAGACCAGUAAAUGCUCUUAACCACUUAGCUUUCUCUCUAGCCAUCCACCCCCAAAUUACUUGUUUAUAUGGCUGUGCAAGCUGAGUGCAGUGCCCACAGAGGCCAGAAGAUGAUACCGGGUAAUAGCUAGAGUAAUAAGCACUUGUACUUUGUACUGGGAACCAAACUCUAGUCUUCUACAACAACAGAAAGCCAUUGUAGCACUCAGGCAAGGACUCAGUUAUUUCAAAGGAUAAGCUUACAUAAGCCAUCUCUCUCUGAAGAUUUUGGGAGCCAGAGGCUAGUGGGCAGCAUGAGGAUUUGGCUUUUUAUUUAAUGUACGAGUGCUCUGCUGCAUAUAUAUCUGCCUGCUGGAAGAAGUCAUCAGAUCCUCUAAUAGAUGGUUGUGAGCCACCAUGUGGUUGCUGGGAAUUGAAUUCAAGACCUCUGGAAGAGCAGCCAGUGCUCUUAGCCGUUGACCCAUCUCAACAGCCCCUUAAUUGUGCUUUCAAGGUCUUUAUACUGUUUUUGAAUUAUUAGGUUAGACAGCCAGCCUUGUGCUCAUAAUCCAGAAUAAAGGUAUGGUGUUAAUUUGCAAUUCUCAGCUCUGUGAACUAGAACGUGGCGUAGUGAACUUUCACAGACCAAGAACUAUACACACAGAAUUCACAUCUCAGGAAGUGAUAGGCUGUAGCUGAUUAUCCAGACCUUCAAAGAAUCACAUUCAAAUUUAGGAUAAAUUUUACAAACUUCUGGGUAAGAUGAAAUAAUUAUAUUAUUAAAGUUUGAAACCAAAAUACUGAAUCAAGAAGGAAGGAAAUGACAGGUGAGUUCCUUUAUUUCAGAAAUAUUUUAAUAUAAUUGUAGUAUAGUUAUGAAGUCACAUUCAAUACAAUGAAUAUAUUCCAAGUAGUAAUAAAAAUAUUAUACAUCUUAACUCACUAUGCUGAUAUAAUUAAAGCAUUUUGUUCUUACAGGUGACACUAGUAAUCACAUCCAUAUUUGCAUUGCUAGUGAACAGCAUGUAAGUAAUAUAUCAUAAUAGCAGGUCUUCAGUGUUUUUUUAAAAUCUGAGUUAUCAAAAGUGAAUUUUUUUAAAUGUUACAAUUCAUGAGUCUUAGAAAGAAUUAAACAAUUUAAGGCAAGAUUCUGAACUUUAUAUACAACUUUAAUUUGAAAAAAAAAGUACUUAAAAAAGAUACACAUGCUUUAACAACUCAUUCACAUAAACACAGUAAUAAAAAGCAUUGGUGCCAAUUCUCAUUGGAUUCCUCAGAGAAAACAGGUUCUUGGGAUGAGCUAUCAUCUUCAGAUCCUAGAGCACUGGCAAGAACAAAGAAUUCUGGCACAGGACUUGUAUGUAGCAGAAUUAUUUUUUACUUGAAGGUAGUUAUAAAUAUGAUAUAUAUAAAAAUUAGUGUCUUGGCCUGUUUGUUUAGCGUUUUCUUUUCAGAUUUACUUUAAGGUAACUGUUACGAUGCUUUAGAAAGCCAGCUGACUAUAAUUGACUGCAGUUGUAGUGCACAGAGGCUACUCUCUCCUCCCUAUCACUCUAUUUUUGGUAUGGGCUGAAAAUUAGCAUUUACAAAGAAAUAACUUAUAUUAAAAUAUAUGUAUUCUAAUGACCAAAGAAGGCACAAAUUGAGUUAAAUUAAGAGACAAUAUCACCUUUUGAAUUCUUGUUAACUAUACAGUAUUAAUUAUAAUAUAUACUUUUAGAUAUUAAUCAGAUUUCUUGUCACUGAAGUGACAUUACAAUUUAAUUCUGUUUCUGCUAAGAUACACGGUAACAGAUCACAAAAAGGUCCAUGAGUCCAGUCAGUGACCACCUUUUACAAACAGCAUUUUUUAAAGUAGCUAGGUGACUCAUGGAAUGGAAUUAGGUUUCUC